AAGCUUAGGCUAACAUUAUAAACCGGAGGCCUUCAAAGCCACAAAUAGGGGAAAAUUCCCCUAGCUUCUG
rnacentral:tRNA from 1 species